rnacentral:lncRNA from 1 species
AACAAAUCUGAAUUAAAUUCUAACACAUGAUUAAAUCUGAACUAAAACUUCCCAAGAAUUUUCGAUAAAUGAAACAAAUCUCAAACGAAAUCACAGCAAAAUCCCCACAAAUCACGAACAAGGAAACUGCAAACAAAUCGAUUUAAUCAGAAACAACCAUCCUGCAAAAUUAGGGCAAAAUUCUCCCCCUAUUUCUUCUGGAACAGCUUGCUUUUGUUGUACUUGAGUUUCACCCAAUUGACGCCGACGGUGGUCCCUCCUUCACUUUCUUCGCCGCCACCUUCGUCCUUCUCCGAACCCCACCGCCGCCACUAACUUUGGUUUUCUCGAAGCCUGUGGUGGUCACUUCCGCCGCCACCACAUCCAGCGGCACGACGAUUUUCCCCAGCAAUCGGCCGGAGCUGACUCCACAGGUAGCGCCGCGGCGGCCGGAGUAGACCGAAAUUUUGAGCUGCGGCCUCUUGGAGGUGGAGAAGAGAGAGGAUUUGCCGGUGAGCCUGUCGAAAUCGGGUUUGGUGAGUUGGCGGUGGCCGUGCUGAGGCGGCGGCGUGGUGAAGGACGGAGUUGGCGGUGGUGGCCGUGGGAGCAUGCGGCGGCGGCGUGGUGAAGGGAAUGAUCGAGAGAAAGAGAGAGAAGAGAGAGGGCGUGUGGGUAGAGAGAGAGAGAAAUGAGAUAAUGAAAGAAAAUUAUGGUUUGCCCAUUUAUAUAGAAGGGUAAUUUAGUCCAUUCAACAAAAAAGUGGGUAAAAUUUUAAGUUUUAAUUUGAGUGGGUAAAAUUUAUUUUUGUUAUAAGAAAGUGGGUACUUUGAUAUAUUAGCACUAUUAUAUAUGUGUGUGUGAUUAAAGUGGAGAUACUAAUUCUAAUUCAUGUCUUAAUGAUACGCAUAAGGGCAAUCAUAAUUUAUUAGUACUUAGAUAUUUAAAAAAUAAUUUGUUCUUAUUCAUAUUGUAUCAUUUUAUACACAAUUUAUAUAGCUUACCAUCUUUCUAUUAUAUAAUGGGAUACAUCUAAGAGACUCCACAAUAAUUCUCUGUCCUACGUGGCCUUCUCUCAUGUCUGUAUUUCGUUUUGUCUAAAUUCUACCUUUCUCCUUCGACAAAAACUCACGCUUUUCAUAGCAAUCAAUAUGCAAAUGCCCUAAUUUGGUAUUUUCUCUGCAUCGCUUGAUUUCACCAGGCGGACACAUAAUUUCACCAGGCGGACACAUGAUUUGGGUGGCUAGAAUAGAUCAUGUGUCCGGCCAGUAAAAUUAUGUGUCCGCCCGAACGGACACAUGAUCUAGCCACCCACCGGUCAUAUGUACUCUCGACUGAUAGCUGUCAAAUCGUUAACUUUUAUGACUGAUAGCUGCCAAAUCGAUCAAAUGUGUAAGACUUUCACAGAAAACCAAGAAACCCAUCAACAGCAAAUGGUAAAAUAGGUACUUCACAUAAUUAGAGCAUAAAAUGCUUAAGUUUAUAAAAUAGGGCAUUUUUCAUAUACAACAUAAGGAAUAUGACAUUUUUGCUUAUUAACACUUUAUUUUAUGUGCUUCAUUGUAUAACUUGGUUGGCCCAUAUGACGAGUUACAUAUAUUAUGUGCUUGACUUGAGCAGGCCGAGCAGUUCAUGGCCCAUACGUAAUGCGUGGUUUACAUACCACACACACUAAUAUUCCAACACCCCGAUUUUGUUUGUUCACAAAAUGCUCCAAUCAACUCUAUAAAAUUUCCCCAGCUGAAUCCACUUUUUUUUGGGUAAAUACCACUUUAAACCCCAAACUAUUUUCGCACUAUUAAUUAUAUUCUGAAUUAUUGAAAAUAAUUUUUAAAACUUUGAACUAUCAAUUUUGUAUCAAUUGUACCAUUCGUUCAUCUUUUUAACUUCAAAAAUUUGACGUGACUCACCGGAUACUACAAUGUAUUUAGAAUCAUUCUUUUUUUGACCUAUAUUAUAUAAAACGACGUGAUUAUAUGCAUUACUUAUUAAAAAUUCAAAGGAUGAAAAAUGGAUAAAGAGUACAAUUGAUACAAAAUUGAUAGUUCAAGGUUUAAAAAAUUAUUUUCAAUAGUUCUGAAUAUAAUUGAUAGUGUGAAAAUAGUUUGGGGUUUAAAGUGAUAUUUACUUUUUUUUUUUUUUUUUAGAAAUAAUUUUCUUCACUAACCAUACCAUCACUUGUAUUCCCCUCGAAACGAAGUGAAUAGCUUUCAACUGAUGAGACUGCAGCCAUAUUUGUUUCUCAAUAAACUACAAUGUGGAUGCUAGUAAAAUUAUUAAUGAUGGCAUCAAUUAUUUUUCUGGUAGCCAAAGUGCCAAACGACAAUUAAUCGUGAGCACCAUGCUUUUAUCAUGUCUAUCUAUCUCAAGCAGGUUUCGCUAUGCUCCAAAUCUAAUUAAACAUCUGCAUUAUUAUUGUCUUCUUCUUGUCUCAUUUUUAAUCAAAGACUAGUAUAGUAUAUCUUUGUUGCAUUUCUACUACUACUACUACUAUAUUUUAUCUCAAAGAUUCUUGGUUGAGAUCCAAGUCUCCCCUAACUGAAUUCUUUAUAUUCAUUCUAAGCUUGUUAAUUGCCUCCUUUCUCCAUUAUGCAUGUGCUUUCUUGUUUUGAAUUUGGCUGACCAAGUCAUGAUUAACACACACAUUCGCUUCAAAUAUCUGCUUUCUCCCUUCUUAUCCAAAUCUCAUUGAUUUCGGUCUUUUUCUUUUUAUUUCACUCAUUCCUCCAUCCACCGAUUCUUAAACCAUAAAUUUUAAAAAUUUAAUUGAGUGAGGUUAUGACUGAGAUUUACAGUUUUAUAGAUUAAUACAAUAUCAUUAAGCAACAAUGCUCGGUACUUUUGUCAGUUUCUUGUUUAAGUAUUGUUUUAACUUCUAAGUAGGAUGAAUUGAUUGUAAAUUCAUCAAUAAUUAAUUAAUUUUGAAUUUUUUUCCUACUUUAAAAAAUUAUGGUAUACAUACAUAAACCGAAACUAAUGUGACUAAAAUUAAAUUUGAAGUGGUAAGCUUAUUACUCAAACAAUGUCGUUUUUUUCAAAAACCAAAUUGACCUUUCUAAUAGUUUGUGGUAUCAAACACUACUAAACAAGAAAAUUUAUGCAUAAGAUGAGACAUAUAUUCGAAAUGUGGCAUGGCAUUGAAGAAAGCAGUAGACAAGAAGUUUAUGCAGUUACAAAAACACUAAGCAUUGCUUCUCACAGAUCACAUCUUAAGAGGAAGAACCUCGACUUGAUCAAGAACAGGCCCACACAGACUUCCAUAGUCUUGAACCUUUGUAUGGUAGAACGAGCUGAAGAAAGUCAACCUGGUCCGAUCCGACGCCGCCGUGAAUCUGAAGCUGAACCCUUCAAACUUGCCCUUCCCUUGAGAUUUAAAGGGAGCCUUCAUGGUGGCAUUGGCUGCAAACGCCUCGAUCAUCAUGGAUCCGUGGCACCCGUUCUUGGCAUCCCCCACCGCGAACUUGAGGCUGUAGGCUUUGUUGGGGACGGUUCUGAUGACUUGAGCUAUGGCGCUCUCUCUCCCGGCUACGAGCUCCACAGCAGAUUUGCCCGAGGGGACGUUGAAAUGGUUGGAGUCUAUGAACUUGACGGCCUUGAGGGACUCGAUGAUCCACCCCGGGAGGGGCGAGGUGGAGUCCUCCUGCUUCGGAGGGAGGAGCACGCCGUGGGAGGAGUUCAACAGGAUAUGAGGGCCCUCCUCGAAUCCACCAUUCUUCACCAGGUUAGCUGAGACAGAUCAAGACAGAUUCAGCUCUUCUACCAUUACUACUUCAUGUUGCAAAUACAAAGUUAGAAACUAGAAUGAAUGAGUUUGGAUAACUCUCUCCCCACUUUUAAGGCCCAAAACUCUGAUAAUAUUAAAAAGAUGAAAAUGAAAAUGAUAUCUAUUCAUCUUGAAAGAUAAAAUAUACUCCUCUGUUCUGGCUCAAACAUAGAAUAAGGUAUCCCACUGAUAAAGACUCAAAACUUUAUUUAUGUCUUAAAAUCCAGCUUUUAGUAUCAAACUUUCCUUUUUUGGUCCCACAUUUUGGUAUCCAUUUCUAUUUUUGGUAGAAGUAGAUGGGGCCCUUACUCCACUUUAAUUAUUUUAACUCUCACAUAAAAUAUGGGACCCUUAUUCCACUCACAACACAUCAAUCACUUUAUUAAAAAUUGUGCCGUUCUCAACUGGAUACCAACAGCUGGGACGGAGGGAGUACAAUUUAAACAACACUUUCUUAGUAUGCACAUCCAUACUCAGUGGAACUGAGGGAGUAAAAAAUACUCACCUUUUAUAAAAUACUACAUGAAUUAUAUUCAUUAAAGACUUCUUUUUUACCCUUUUAUUGAAGGUUAAGUCUACAUGAAAUACUAAUGUAUUUUCUACGAAUGCUCAAGUAACUUGCAGAGAUAGAACAGAGCAGUUGCAUUUUUCACUAAUGCCAGAUUCACAAUAGUCAUGUAACAUGGAAUAGUAAGAUGAAGCUUCAAAUCUAGGAGUAAUUUUUAUCAUUUCAAGGUAAAAAUAGGUAACUUUUAUGGUUGUUUUAAUCAAUUAAAAAGAUAUUUAUGGGUGAUGUGGACCUUUAGUGGCGGUGGGGAGGGUGAGCUCCUUGAUGGCGACGGCGUCGAGGAGGGGGCCGCAGGCGGGAUCUUCCUGCAUCCCAGGGUUGUGGAAGACGACCUUGACGGAGCUGGAGGUGGCGCGGAACCCCCAGGCGUAGGUGUCGCCGCCGUUGCUGCUGUAGAGCGUCUGGAGGGGGAGAUCGCCGGACUGCGGCGGCACAGACACGCGCAGCACCUCGUUCUGCGCGCAGGUCCGCGACGCGCCAAACGUGAGCGCGUAGAGGGAGCCGUUCCGGACGGGGAUGGGCUGGGAGACGGAGGCCUCGUUGCCGAGGCGCACCGCGUGGACGCCGUGCGCCACCGCGAAGUACAUCCCCCC